GCAGGUGAAUGCAACGUCAAGCGAUGGGCGUAUUGUCUUACUUUCUUUUUGAAUUAUUGCAUAGCGUAUUUAAUUCAGAUGAUGCCGGGUGAAUAGCACGGCAUUU
rnacentral:sRNA from 1 species